rnacentral:misc_RNA from 1 species
AACCAUAGAAACCUGCGGAGUACCUGCGGAAGGAUCAUUACCGAGUUUACGACUCCCAAACCCCUGUGAACAUACCACUUGUUGCCUCGGCGGAUCAGCCCGCUCCCGGUAAAACGGGACGGCCCGCCAGAGGACCCCUAAACUCUGUUUCUAUAUGUAACUUCUGAGUAAAACCAUAAAUAAAUCAAAACUUUUAACAAUGGAUCU